rnacentral:rRNA from 1 species
UUUUCGGAGAGUUUGAUCCUGGCUCAGGACGAACGCUGGCGGCGUGCCUAAUACAUGCAAGUCGAGCGAACAGAAGGGAGCUUGCUCCCGGAUGUUAGCGGCGGACGGGUGAGUAACACGUGGGUAACCUGCCUGUAAGACUGGGAUAACUCCGGGAAACCGGAGCUAAUACCGGAUAGUUCCUUGAACCGCAUGGUUCAAGGAUGAAAGACGGUUUCGGCUGUCACUUACAGAUGGACCCGCGGCGCAUUAGCUAGUUGGUGGGGUAAUGGCUCACCAAGGCGACGAUGCGUAGCCGACCUGAGAGGGUGAUCGGCCACACUGGGACUGAGACACGGCCCAGACUCCUACGGGAGGCAGCAGUAGGGAAUCUUCCGCAAUGGACGAAAGUCUGACGGAGCAACGCCGCGUGAGUGAUGAAGGUUUUCGGAUCGUAAAGCUCUGUUGUUAGGGAAGAACAAGUGCGAGAGUAACUGCUCGCACCUUGACGGUACCUAACCAGAAAGCCACGGCUAACUACGUGCCAGCAGCCGCGGUAAUACGUAGGUGGCAAGCGUUGUCCGGAAUUAUUGGGCGUAAAGGGCUCGCAGGCGGUUUCUUAAGUCUGAUGUGAAAGCCCCCGGCUCAACCGGGGAGGGUCAUUGGAAACUGGGAAACUUGAGUGCAGAAGAGGAGAGUGGAAUUCCACGUGUAGCGGUGAAAUGCGUAGAGAUGUGGAGGAACACCAGUGGCGAAGGCGACUCUCUGGUCUGUAACUGACGC